AACGAACGCUGGCGGCAGGCUUAACACAUGCAAGUCGAACGCCCCGCAAGGGGAGUGGCAGACGGGUGAGUAACGCGUGGGAAUCUACCUAGUUCUACGGAACAACUGAGGGAAACUUCAGCUAAUACCGUAUACGCCCUAAGGGGGAAAGAUUUAUCGGAAUUAGAUGAGCCCGCGUUGGAUUAGCUAGUUGGUGGGGUAAUGGCCUACCAAGGCGACGAUCUAUAGCUGGUCUGAGAGGAUGAUCAGCCACACUGGGACUGAGACACGGCCCAGACUCCUACGGGAGGCAGCAGUGGGGAAUAUUGGACAAUGGGCGCAAGCCUGAUCCAGCCAUGCCGCGUGAGUGAUGAAGGCCUUAGGGUUGUAAAGCUCUUUCAGUGGGGACGAUAAUGACGGUACCCACAGAAGAAGCCCCGGCUAACUUCGUGCCAGCAGCCGCCGUAAGAC
rnacentral:rRNA from 1 species